rnacentral:rRNA from 1 species
GCCUAACACAUGCAAGUCGAACGAACCCUUCGGGGUUAGUGGCGCACGGGUGCGUAACGCGUGGGAACCUGCCUUUAGGUUCGGAAUAACAGUUAGAAAUGACUGCUAAUACCGGAUAAUGUCUUCGGACCAAAGAUUUAUUGCCUUUAGAUGGGCCCGCGUUGGAUUAGAUAGUUGGUGGGGUAAUGGCCUACCAAGUCGACGAUCCAUAGCUGGUCUGAGAGGAUGAUCAGCCACACUGGGACUGAGACACGGCCCAGACUCCUACGGGAGGCAGCAGUGGGGAAUAUUGGACAAUGGGCGAAAGCCUGAUCCAGCAAUGCCGCGUGAGUGAUGAAGGCCUUAGGGUUGUAAAGCUCUUUUACCAGGGAUGAUAAUGACAGUACCUGGAGAAUAAGCUCCGGCUAACUCCGUGCCAGCAGCCGCGGUAAUACGGAGGGAGCUAGCGUUGUUCGGAAUUACUGGGCGUAAAGCGCACGUAGGCGGCUUUUCAAGUCAGGGGUGAAAUCCCGGGGCUCAACCCCGGAACUGCCCUUGAAACUGGAUGGCUAGAAUACUGGAGAGGUGAGUGGAAUUCCGAGUGUAGAGGUGAAAUUCGUA